rfam:Vanderwaltozyma polyspora DSM 70294 KpolScaffold1055 genomic scaffold, whole genome shotgun sequence.
CUCUCGGUAGCCAAGUUGGUUUAAGGCGCAAGACUGUAAUGUUUCAACAAAGUAAUCUUGAGAUCGGGCGUUCGACUCGCCCCCGGGAGA